GUAGGCUUAGUUUAACAAAGACAUUAGAUUGUGAUUCUAAAAAUAGAGGUUAAACCCCUCUAGCCCACC
rnacentral:tRNA from 2 species